GAUGAACGCUGGCGGCGUGCCUAACACAUGCAAGUCGAGCGAUUCUCUUCGGAGAAGAGCGGCGGACGGGUGAGUAACGCGUGGGUAACCUGCCCUGUACACACGGAUAACAUACCGAAAGGUAUGCUAAUACGAGAUAAUAUGCUUUUAUCGCAUGGUAGAAGUAUCAAAGCUCCGACGGUACAGGAUGGACCCGCGUCUGAUUAGCUAGUUGGUAAGGCAAGGGCUUACCAAGGCGACGAUCAGUAGCCGACCUGAGAGGGUGAUCGGCCACAUUGGAACUGAGACACGGUCCAAACUCCUACGGGAGGCAGCAGUGGGGAAUAUUGCACAAUGGGCGAAAGCCUGAUGCAGCAACGCCGCGUGAGCGAUGAAGGCCUUCGGGUCGUAAAGCUCUGUCCUCAAGGAAGAUAAUGACGGUACUUGAGGAGGAAGCCCCGGCUAACUACGUGCCAGCCGCCGCAGUAA
rnacentral:rRNA from 1 species